rnacentral:rRNA from 1 species
GACGAACGCUGGCGGCGUGCUUAACACAUGCAAGUCGAACGGAAAGGCCUGCUUUCCCUUGUGGAUUGCGGGUACUCGAGUGGCGAACGGGUGAGUAACACGUGAGUGAUCUGCCCCCAACUUGGGUAUAAGCCUGGGAAACUGGGUCUAAUUCCCGAUAGGACUGCAGGGUGGUGCCUGUGGUGGAAAACGAUUUUCUAGUGGGUGGGGAUGAGCUCGCGGCCUAUCAGCUGGUUGGUGGGGUAAUGGCCUACCAAGGCGGCGACGGGUAGCCGGCCUGAGCGGGUGGACGGCCACAUUGGGACUGAGCUCAGGCCCAGACUACUCCGGGAGGCAGAAGUGGGGAAUAUUGGACAAUGGGCGGAAGACUGAUGCAGCGACGCCGCGUGGGGGAUGACGGCCUUCGGGUUGUAAACUCCUUUCGACCGAGGAAGCCACCUGGUUGGAAGGGUGGUGACGGUAGUGGUAGAAGAAGCACCGGCUAACUACGUG